rnacentral:lncRNA from 1 species
AUGCCAUCCAGCCAUCUCAUCCUCUGUCAUCCCCUUCUCCUCCUGCCCCCAAUCCUUCCCAGCAUCAGAGUCUUUUCCAAUGAGUCAACUCUUCUCAUGAGGUGUCCAAAGUACUGGAGUUUCAGCUUUAGCAUCAUUCCUUCCAAAGAAAUCCCAGGGUUGAUCUCCUUCAGAAUGGACUGGUUGGAUCUCCUUACAGUCCAAUGGACUCUCAAGAGUCUUCUCCAACAACACAGUUCAAAAGCAUCAAUUCUUCAGCACAAAGCCUUCUUCACAGUCCAACUCUCACAUCCAUACAUGACCACAGGAAAAACAGCCUUGACUAGACGGACCUUAGUCAGCAAACUAAUGUCUCUGCUUUUGAAUAUGCUAUCUAGGUUGGUCAUAACUUUUCUUCCAAGGAGUAAGCGUCUUUUAAUUUCUCACUUUCAUCAAGAGGCUUUUUAGUUCCUCUUCACUUUCUGCCAUAAGGGUGGUGUCAUCUGCAUAUCUGAGGUUAUUGAUAUUUCUCCUGGCAAUCUUGAUUCCAGCUUGUUUCUUCCAGUCCAGCAUUUCUCAUGAUGUACUCUGCAUAUAAGUUAAAUAAGCAGGGUGACAAUAUACAGUUUUGACGUAUUCCUUUUCCUAUUUGGAACCAGUCUGUUGUUCCAUGUCCAGUUCUAACUGUUGCUUCCUGACCUGCAUACAGAUUUCUCAAGAGGCAGGUUAGGUGGUCUGGUAUUCCCAUCUCUUUCAGAAUUUUCCACAGUUUAUUGUGAUCCACACAGUCAAAGGCUUUGGCAGAGACAAUAAAGCAGAAAUAGAUGUUUUUCUGGAACUCUCUUGCUUUUUCUAUGAUCCAGGGUAUGUUGGCAAUUUGAUCUCUUGUUCCUCUGCCUUUUCUAAAACCAGCUUGAACAUCAGGGAGUUCACGGUUCACGUAUUGCUGAAGCCUGGCUUGGAUAAUUUUGAGCAUUACUUUACUAGCAUGUGAGAUGAGUGCAAUUUUGUGGUAGUUUGAGCAUUCUUUGGCAUUGCCUUUCUUUGGGAUUAGAAUGAAAACUCACCUUUUCCCAUCCUGUGGCCACUGCUGAGUUUUCCAAAUUUGCUGGCAUAUUGAGUGCAGCACUUUCACAGCAUCAUCUUUCAGGAUGAUAUAACUAUAGGGUGUUUUAAAUCAACAAUGAUAAAGUUGACAUUGGUCAUUUAAGUAUUAUUUAUCUUUGUCUUCAUUCUUUCCCAUCUGAAAGGCAAAGAGUCUAAAGAAAACAUAUUUUAAUAAUUGCCCCAAAAGGGAAAAGUCUUCCUGUCUCUUAAUGAAGAAAACCUAUUUAAGGAGAAGCUAAAUAGAGUUGCCUGUCCCUUUCUAUGGGUAAUAAGAAAGAAAGAUUUCAAUGAAAGUGAA